UGUAUGUACCAUAUGAAUAAGGAUCGGCUAACUCCGUGCCAGCAGCCGCGGUAAUACGGAGGAUCCGAGCGUUAUCCGGAUUUAUUGGGUUUAAAGGGAGCGUAUGUGGACAGUUAAGUCAGUUGUGAAAGUUUGCGGCUCAACCGUAAAAUUGCAGUUGAUACUGGCUGUCUUGAGUACAGUAGAGGUGGGCGGAAUUCGUGGUGUAGCGGUGAAAUGCUUARAUAUCACGAAGAACUCCGAUUGCGAAGGCAGCUCACUGGACUGCAACUGACACUGAUGCUCGAAAGUGUGGGUAUCAAACAGGAUUAKAUACCCUGGUAGUCCACACAGUAAACGAUGAAUACUCGCUGUUUGCGAUAUACAGUAAGCGGCCAAGCGAAAGCAUUAAGUAUUCCACCUGGGGAGUACGCCGGCAACGGUGAAACUCAAAGGAAUUGACGGGGGCCCGCACAAGCGGAGGAACAUGUGGUUUAAUUCGAUGAUACGCGAGGAACCUUACCCGGGCUUAAAUUGCAUUUGAAUAWWUUGGAAACAGGAUAGCCGUAAGGCAAAUGUGAAGGUGCUGCAUGGUUGUCGUCAGCUCGUGCCGUGAGGUGUCGGCUUAAGUGCCAUAACGAGCGCAACCCUUAUCUUUAGUUACUAACAGGUCAUGCUGAGGACUCUAGAGAGACUGCCGUCGUAAGAUGUGAGGAAGGUGGGGAUGACGUCAAAUCAGCACGGCCCUUACGUCCGGGGCUACACACGUGUUACAAUGGGGGGUACAGAAGGCAGCUACCUGGUGACAGGAUGCUAAUCCCAAAAGCCUCUCUCAGUUCGGAUCGAAGUCUGCAACCCGACUUCGUGAAGCUGGAUUCGCUAGUAAUCGCGCAUCAGCCAUGGCGCGGUGAAUACGUUCCCGGGCCUUGUACACACCGCCCGUCAAGCCAUG
rnacentral:rRNA from 1 species